rnacentral:rRNA from 1 species
UACGAAGGGGGCUAGCGUUGCUCGGAAUCACUGGGCGUAAAGGGUGCGUAGGCGGGUCUUUAAGUCAGGGGUGAAAUCCUGGAGCUCAACUCCAGAACUGCCUUUGAUACUGAAGAUCUUGAGUCCGGGAGAGGUGAGUGGAACUGCGAGUGUAGAGGUGAAAAUUCGUAGAUAUUCGCAAGAACACCAGUGGCGAAGGCGGCUCACUGGCCCGGUACUGACGCUGAGGCACGAAAGCGUGGGGAGCAAACAGG